rnacentral:lncRNA from 1 species
GAUGCUACUCAGUAGUCAAUGUUAUCUAUGAGUUAGGGUUCGGAAGAGAGCUCAAGGGUGGGGAUAAAGAGUAACUGGGACAUAGACUGUUGGGCAUGGUGUCUCUGUUAUGAUUGAUCCCGUUACCCAUGUGGUGAGCAUAGUAGUCAAAAGUUAGUUUUUCUUUUUUUCUUUUUUCUUUUUUUUUGAGAUGGAGUCUUGCUCUGUCGCCCAGGCUGGAGUGCAGUGGCACGAUUGCGGGCGCCUGUAGUCCCAGCUACUCGGGAGGCUGAGGCAGGAGAAUGGCGUGAACCCGGAAGGCGCAGCUUGCAGUGAGCCGAGAU